GACUAAGGUUCGAUUCGAGCGUCAGCGAGAAAGCGUUGCCGCAGGCAACGACCCGAAGGGCGAAGCGCGCAGCGCUGAGUCAUCCUUCCCCCACCACCA
rnacentral:sRNA from 6 species